rfam:Gossypium hirsutum cultivar TM-1 unplaced genomic scaffold scaffold3567.1, whole genome shotgun sequence
UAUUAAAAAUUUCAUCAAUUUUUUCUGUUAAAAAUUGACGUGACUGAUAAAAUAACUAGACAAUUACAUGCAGUGUGCCUAGUGUAUAUCAUGUUGACGUAUAAAGAUAAAUUUUAACAAUGAAAAUGAAAGUUUUUAACA